GACGUAGUGCGCGAGCGUUGUCCGGAUUUAUUGGGCGUACAGAGCUCGUAGGCGGCUUGUCGCGUCGACUGUGAAAACCCGGGGCUCAACCCCGGGCCUGCAUUCGAUACGGGCAGACUAGAGUUCGGUAGGGGAGUCUGGAAUUCCUGGUGUAGCGGUGAAAUGCGCAGAUAUCAGGAGGAACACCGGUGGCGAAGGCGGGACUCUGGGCCGAUACUGACGCUGAGGAGCGAAAGCGUGGGGAGCGAACAGG
rnacentral:rRNA from 1 species